rnacentral:rRNA from 1 species
CCUACGGGUGGCAGCAGUGGGGAAUAUUGGGCAAUGGGCGCAAGCCUGACCCGGCAAAGCCGCGGGAAGGAAGAAGGCGUUCGGGUGGUAAACGUCUUGUCGCAGGGACGAAGCAAGUGACGGUACCGGAGGAAUAAGCCACGGCUAACGACGUGCCAGCAGCCGCGGUAAUACGUAGGUGGCAAGCUUUAUCCGGAUUUACGGUGUGUAAAGGGCGGGUAGGCGGGACGGCAAGUCAGAUGUGAAAACCACGGGCUCAACCUGUGGCCUGCAUUUGAAACGGUAGUUCUUGCGUACUGGCGCGGCAGCCGGACUUCCUUGUGUAGCGGUGAAAUGCGUAGAUAUU